GUUUGGAUGUUGUGCAAAUGCGUCCAAAGACAAUAAAAGGAGAACUUCAGUUCUUUCUCGGUUGAAUGGACGUGCUUUUACUUUAUGGGUAGAAUUCAUUGAUUGAUUACAAUGUCAUUUCAUGGUCUCCCUGCUAAGAAAAUCAAAUUUAAUGUUUAGUUUUGGUGAAUUCUCAAUUUUUAUAUUUGACACUGUGGAAAGAUGAUCUUAAGCAUAUAAUUUCAUUACUUCAACUACAUUAUUAUCAUCAAGCAUCUCUCAAGGCUAGAUCAUUGUUGUAAUUUCAUUUUUUUUGUUUUUAUUUUUUUCAUGUGGGAUGAAUCAGCAACGCAACUUCCUUGUGAC
rnacentral:misc_RNA from 1 species